rnacentral:tRNA from 1 species
GGGUCGUUAGCUCAGUUGGUAGUAGCAGUUGACUUUUAAUCAAUUGGUCGCAGGUUCGAAUCCUGCACGACCCACCA